rnacentral:rRNA from 1 species
CCUACGGGGGGCAGCAGUAGGGAAUUUUCGUCAAUGGGCGCAAGCCUGAACGAGCAAUGCCGCGUGAACGAGGAAGGUCUUCGGAUCGUAAAGUUCUGUUGAAGGGGAAAAAGAGCGGAGAGAGGAAAUGCUUUCUGAUUGAUAUUACCCUUCGAGGAAGUCACGGCUAACUACGUGCCAGCAGCCGCGGUAAUACGUAGGUGGCAAGCGUUAUCCGGAUUUAUUGGGCGUAAAGCGAGCGCAGGCGGUUGCUUAGGUCUGAUGUGAAAGCCUUCGGCUUAACCGAAGAAGUGCAUCGGAAACCGGGCGACUUGAGUGCAGAAGAGGACAGUGGAACUCCAUGUGUAGCGGUGGAAUGCGUAGAUAUAUGGAAGAACACCAGUGGCGAAGGCGGCUGUCUGGUCUGCAACUGACGCUGAGGCUCGAAAGCAUGGGUAGCGAACAGGAUUAGAUACCCCGGUAGUC